rfam:Pteropus alecto contig80879, whole genome shotgun sequence.
GUCUAUGGCCAUGCUACCUUGAACAAGCUGGAUCUUGUCUGAUCUUGGAAGCUAAGCAGGAUCAGGCCUUGUUAGUACUUGGAUGAGAGACUACCUAGGAAGACCAGGUUCUAUAGGCG